rnacentral:rRNA from 1 species
UACGUAGGGUGCAAGCGUUAAUCGGAAUUACUGGGCGUAAAGCGUGCGCAGGCGGCUAUGCAAGACAGAUGUGAAAUCCCCGGGCUCAACCUGGGAACUGCAUUUGUGACUGCAUGGCUAGAGUACGGUAGAGGGGAUGGAAUUCCGCGUGUAGCAGUGAAAUGCGUAGAUAUGCGGAGGAACACCGAUGGCGAAGGCAAGUCCCUGGACC